rnacentral:lncRNA from 1 species
GUUAAAUUCCCCUCCAUCUGAGGCUUUUCAUCCUGCCUCGCUUAGUCUCGAUCUCCGAGUAGAGCUGACACACUGGGCCAAGGAAACCCUUUCAAAGACAAGGACGUCGAGCACUAACUAUGGAAUAAAUUCCGAGGGACGGCAAUGAGAAUUGCUCACACUCUCUCAUGUGGGUCAGAAGAUACGGAAACCACAGAGCGAUGAGAGAGUUAAAAGAUGUAACAUAUUCUUUCAGCCAUCUCAGAGGAGAAAGAUGCAGGGUGUGAAAUGAGAUGCAUUUAAAUUAAAUUCAUCGGUGACAC